rnacentral:rRNA from 1 species
AUUGAACGCUGGCGGCAGGCCUAACACAUGCAAGUCGAGCGGAUGAAGGGAGCUUGCUCCUGGAUUCAGCGGCGGACGGGUGAGUAAUGCCUAGGAAUCUGCCUGGUAGUGGGGGAUAACGUCCGGAAACGGGCGCUAAUACCGCAUACGUCCUGAGGUAGAAAGUGGGGGAUCUUCGGACCUCACGCUAUCAGAUGAGCCUAGGUCGGAUGAGCUAGUUGGUGGGGUAAAGGCCUACCAAGGCGACGAUCCGUAACUGGUCUGAGAGGAUGAUCAGUCACACUGGAACUGAGACACGGCCCAGACUCCUACGGGAGGCAGCAGUGGGGAAUAUUGGACGAUGGGCGAAAGCCUGAUCCGGCCAUGCCGCGUGUGUGAAGAAGGUCUUCGGAUUGUAGAGCACUUUAGGUUGGGAGGAAGGACAGUACGUUAAUACCUUACUGUUUUGACGUUACCAACAGAAUAAGCACCGGCUAACUUCGUG